rnacentral:rRNA from 1 species
AGAGUUUGAUCAUGGCUCAGGACGAACGCUGGCGGUAUGCCUCAUACAUGCAAGUCGAACGAUAAGGCUCCUUCGGGAGUACAUAAGUGGCGGACGGGUGAGUAACACGUAGGAAAUCUACCUCAAGGAGGGGGACAACCCUGGGAAACUAGGGCUAAUACCCCAUAUGUGUCUAGUUGAAAUACUAGCCAUGAAAACUCCGGUGCCUUGAGAUGAGCCUGCGCCUGAUUAGCUUGUUGGUAGGGUAAAGGCCUACCAAGGCGACGAUCAGUAGCUGGUUUGAGAGGAUGAUCAGCCACAAUGGAACUGAGACACGGUCCAUACUCCUACGGGAGGCAGCAGUAGGGAAUUUUGCGCAAUGGGCGAAAGCCUGACGCAGCAAUACCGCGUGAGCGACGAAGCACUUCGGUGUGUAAAGCUCUGUCAGUGGGGACGAAAUAUGACGGUACCCACAAAGGAAGCAUCGGCUAACUACGUGCCAGCAGCCGCGGUAAUACGUAGGAUGCAAGCGUUGUCCGGAAUUAUUGGGCGUAAAGAGUUCGUAGGCGGCAUAUUAAGUCUGGUGUUAAAGCCCGGGGCUCAACCCCGGAUCAGCACUGGAUACUGAUAAGCUAGAGUACAGUAGAGGCAAGGGGAAUUCCUAGUGUAGCGGUGAAAUGCGUAGAUAUUAGGAGGAACACCAGUGGCGUAAGCGCCUUGCUGGGCUGUAACUGACGCUGAGGAACGAAAGCCAGGGUAGCAAAUGGGAUUAGAUACCCCAGUAGUCCUGGCCGUAAACGAUGGAUACUAGGUGUUGCGGGUAUCGACCCCUGCAGUGCCGCAGUUAACGCGAUAAGUAUCCCGCCUGGGGAGUACGCACGCAAGUGUAAAACUCAAAGGAAUUGACGG